GGGGGAGGUGAUGAUCUAAUGGUUAAGGCGUUGAGCUUCAGACCAGAAAAUCCUAGGUUCAAAUCAAAUCCCAGCCUGACUGGAAAAUCACUAAGAGCCCAUGGGCAAGGUCUUUAAUCCCCUAUUGCUCCCGAGCAAAAACCAGCAUCUGUGA